GAUGAACGCUGGCGGCGUGCCUAAUACAUGCAAGUCGAGCGAACAGACGAGGAGCUUGCUCCUCUGACGUUAGCGGCGGACGGGUGAGUAACACGUGGAUAACCUACCUAUAAGACUGGGAUAACUUCGGGAAACCGGAGCUAAUACCGGAUAAUAUAUUGAACCGCAUGGUUCAAUAGUGAAAGACGGUUUUGCUGUCACUUAUAGAUGGAUCCGCACCGCAUUAGCUAGUUGGUAAGGUAACGGCUUACCAAGGCAACGAUGCGUAGCCGACCUGAGAGGGUGAUCGGCCACACUGGAACUGAGACACGGUCCAGACUCCUACGGGAGGCAGCAGUAGGGAAUCUUCCGCAAUGGGCGAAAGCCUGACGGAGCAACGCCGCGUGAGUGAUGAAGGUCUUCGGAUCGUAAAACUCUGUUAUUAGGGAAGAACAAAUGUGUAAGUAACUAUGCACGUCUUGACGGUACCUAAUCAGAAAGCCACGGCUAACUACGUG
rnacentral:rRNA from 1 species